rnacentral:rRNA from 1 species
GAUGAACGCUGGCGGCGUGCCUAAUACAUGCAAGUCGAGCGAACGGACGAGAAGCUUGCUUCUCUGAUGUUAGCGGCGGACGGGUGAGUAACACGUGGAUAACCUACCUAUAAGACUGGGAUAACUUCGGGAAACCGGAGCUAAUACCGGAUAAUAUUUUGAACCGCAUGGUUCAAAAGUGAAAGACGGUCUUGCUGUCACUUAUAGAUGGAUCCGCGCUGCAUUAGCUAGUUGGUAAGGUAACGGCUUACCAAGGCAACGAUGCAUAGCCGACCUGAGAGGGGGAUCGGCCACACGGGAACUGAGACACGGUCCAGACUCCUACGGGAGGCAGCAGUAGGGAAUCUUCCGCAAGGGGCGAAAGCCUGACGGAGCAACGCCGCGUGAGUGAUGAAGGUCUUCGGAUCGUAAAACUCUGUUAUUAGGGAAGAACAUAUGGUAAGUAACUGUGCACAUCUUGACGGUACCUAAUCAGAAAGCCACGGCUAACUACGUG